rnacentral:rRNA from 1 species
AUUGAACGCUGGCGGCAGGCCUAACACAUGCAAGUCGAGCGAGCGGCGGACGGGUGAGUAAUGCCUAGGAAUCUGCAUGGUAGUGGGGGAUAACGUCCGGAAACGGGCGCUAAUACCGCAUACCAUCGGAUGUGCCCCGAUGGGAUUAGCUUGUUGGUGGGGUAACGGCGCACCAAGGCGACGAUCCCUAGCUGGUCUGAGAGGAUGACCAGCCACACUGGAACUGAGAAACGGUCCAGACUCCUACGGGAGGCAGCAGGGGGGAAUAGUGCACAAUGGGCGCAAGCCUGAUGCAGCCAUGCCGCGUGUAUGAAGAAGGCCUUCGGGUUGUAAAGUACUUUCAGCGGGGAGGCGUUACCCGCAGAAGAAGCACCGGCUAACUCCGUGCCAGCCGCCGCGGUAAUUC